rnacentral:ncRNA from 1 species
GCUAAAGCAUCGAUGAGGAGAGUAAGCGCCUAAUUUUCUUUUGAAGAGAGAACCACCCUAGGCUGAAAGUGGUUUAAGAAAAAAGACGCUGAAGUGCACCUCGGAGCCUUUUGUCGAACAAAUACAGUAGAUAGAAGCGGGCACUCUACGUUACGGAGAUUAAGAGAACAGUGUUUUUAGAAACGCUGUUAAUCAGAGUGGAACCGCGCGAUAAAGCGUCUCUGUG